CGCUGGCGGCACGCCUAAUACAUGCAAGUCGAACGCAGUAGCAAUACUGAGUGGCGAACGGGUGAGUAUAAUGUAGGUAUCUGCCUUUUGGUUUGGAAUAACACGAGGAAACUUGUGCUAAUACCGGAUAAGCCUUUACAGGGAAAGUUUUAACGCCGAAAGAUGAGCCUGCACUUGAUUAGCUUGUUGGUAAGGUAAUGGCUUACCAAGGCUACGAUCAAUAGCUGAUCUGAGAGGAUGAUCAGCCACAUUGGGACUGAGACACGGCCCAAACUCCUACGGGAGGCAGCAGUAGGGAAUCUUGCACAAUGGAGGAAACUCUGAUGCAGCGAUGCCGCGUGAGUGAAGAAGGCCUUUGGGUUGUAAAGCUCUUUCGUCGGGGAAGAAAAUGACUGUACCCGAAUAAGAAGGUCCGGCUAACUUCGUGCCAGCAGCCGCGGUAAUACGAAGGGACCUAGCGUAGUUCGGAAUUACUGGGCUUAAAGAGCACGUAGGUGGUUAGAAAAGUUGGUGGUGAAAUCCCAGAGCUUAACUCUGGAACUGCCACCAAAACUUUUUGACUAGAGUAUGAUAGAGGUAAGCGGAAUUUCUAGUGUAGAGGUGAAAUUCGUAGAUAUUAGAAAGAACACCAAUUGCGAAGGCAGCUUUCUGGAUCAUUACUGACACUGAGGUGCGAAAGCAUGGGUAGCGAAGAGGAUUAGAUACCCUCGUAGUCCAUGCUGUAAACGAUGUGUGCUAGAUGUUGGGAAUUUUAUUCUCAGUGUCGCAGCAAAAGCGUUAAGCACACCGCCUGGGGAG
rnacentral:rRNA from 1 species